CUGUUUUGUACCCAAGGCAAUGAAUAUUGUCUCUUUCAGAAUGUUUAGUAUAUUAGCCUCUAGCCUUAAUGCUUACAACCACUUUAUAUUGCAUUCAGAUUCUGGUUCUUAUAAACAGUGUUUCUGAACAUUCAGGAAUCUCCUGAACUCUGUUAACAAAAUUGGACAACUGAACUCAGGUAUGAAGGGAGAUUGUGAGGAACAUAAUAACAUCAUGUAGAAGUCAGUCUGAGGAUCUGAUUGCUUUGGUUUCUUUCAUAUUAAACGGGAAAAGUGUUUAAUACAUUAAAAACUGUUUACUGUCAAUGCUGGAACAUUAAACACUGUGUUGAAAAGUUUUAUACAGUAGUAGUGCCUUUCAGAGUUUGGGGGAGACGUUGUUUUUAAGGUGUCUGAGUCAGAGAUCAGUUUUGUCAAGUUUUGUCCCUUUAAAAAACCACUGAUAAUACACAUGGUGUGGUGUGUUGUUUGGAGGGAGUAAUGGUGCAUAAGUCAGCUGGAAGGCAAAUGUGCAUCUGGAACGCAUAAGCCACUGAGGGAAUGUCUAAACCACGGGCUCACAGUCACUGGGCACUCCUGAAAGUGGAGAUCAAGAAAUCUGCCUCAGAGGAAAUAUGUGUCUCCCCCAAAAGCAGAACACUCUGCAGGUUCAUAUUAAGUAUAGUUAAUCUGUACUUGCAGUUGCACUCAAAAGAUUUACACAACAUUGCUAGCUUUAUAAGAUCGAAAGAUUCCAUUUAUCUUGUUUUAUCAAGGUAAGUAUUAAAGAAAAAGAAAGUAACACAAGAAUACCAAUAACUGCUCAUAAUACAUACAUGUUAUAUUUUUUAUUGCAACUGGUUUUGUAAAACUUCCUGUAUUAAGUGCCAGUGAAAAGCUGAGGAAAAUCU
rnacentral:lncRNA from 1 species